CUCUGCUGUCUCCACUCCUCCAUCUGCUGCCUCCCAGGGCCUCUCCACCAUUUGCUCUCCAUUCCACUACUGGCCCAUGCUCGAUUCCGGUGGCUCUGGCCACCCUGAGCCGAGGCAGCAACUGAGGACUCCACAUCACAGAUGCCUGUGAUCACAGAGGCCACCUGAGGCCACUGACAUGGCUCCCCUGUCCUGGGGCCCCAGAAGACAGCGGGCUGUGUCCUUGUUAGAGGGAUCCCGAGCAGAUGAGAAAACUGGGACUGCAACAUGAACCACUGUCCACAUCACAUGGCUGAAGGGGACAGGACCCACAGGGACACGAGUCAGAAGAAUCUACCACCAUCGGAACCCAAGUGAGACUCAGACUCCCCAGUGUGUCCAUGGCAGCCCUGGCUUUGACCUGCAACUCCAAGCCUUCCGCUCAAUGCUCCUAACACUGGGUGGAACCCAGAAGUGGGCUACAGGGAAGGAAGCGCACCGGGCUCCUGUCUUUAAGGCCAAGGGCAAGGUGGCAGCCCACAACCUCCCCCCGCCCCCGGAGUGCCACACCCUCACCAAGGUGGAGCCCCCGGAUGGUCUCUCCCCUGGCUUCCUGCAGUACCUUCUGCUAUGACAGGAAAAGCAGCCCAAAGCCAGAGACCUGAAGGAAUUCCUAUCUCCCACUUGGCCAUGAGAAUACAGAGUAUCAUUCUAAGACUACUGCUAUGCACUUGGUUCUGGGCUGAGCACAUAUAAAGGACAGGAAUCUCCUCUGAUCCCAGACCAAGCCCAUAACUCAGAUCACUGACUGCCUGCUGCUCUCUCAUCC
rnacentral:lncRNA from 1 species